CCCGCGGGGCUCCGGGCGGCCGUGACCCUGCUGGAGUCCGGGGGGGACCUCCAGCCCCCCGGGGGGUCCCUGCGCCUCCUCUGCCGCGCCUCGGGGUUCACUUUCGGGAAUUAUGGAAUGUUCUGGAUCCGCCAGAGACCCGGGCAGGGGCUGGAAUACGUCGCGAGUAUCAACAACGGUGGUGGCAGCACCUACUACGCGCCGUCGGUGAAGGGCCGGGCGACGAUCUCCAGGGACAACGGGCAGAGCUCGGUGACGCUGACCAUGAACGGCCUCAAGGACGAGGAUUCCGGCUCCUAUUUCUGUGCCAAGGAUGCUGCUGCUGGUUUUUGGGGUGCUGGUGCUGGUGGUUGGGGUGCCCAUGCUGGUUUUUGUGGUGCCCAUGCCGGUUUUUGGAGUGCUGGUCCUGGUGGAUUUGGGGUGCCCAUGCUGGUUAUUGGGGUGCUGGUGCUGGUGGUUGGUGUGCCCGUGCUGGUUUUUGUGGUGCCCAUGCUGGUUUUUGGAGUGCCCGUGCCGGUUUUUGGGGUGCCCAUGCUGGUUUUUGGGGUGCCCAUGCUGGUUUUUGGAGUGCCCGUGCCGGUUUUUGGGGUGCCCAUGCUGGCACUGCCGGCCUUGGCCAGGGACCGACCCGGCGGCGCCGGCGCGGGACGGCUCCGCUGA